rnacentral:rRNA from 1 species
GACGAACGCUGGCGGCGUGCUUAACACAUGCAAGUCGAACGGAAAGGCCCUGCUUUUGUGGUGUGCUCGAGUGGCGAACGGGUGAGUAACACGUGAGUAACCUGCCCUUGACUUUGGGAUAACUUCAGGAAACUGGGGCUACUACCGGAUAGGAGCUCCUGCUGCAUGGGGGGGGUUGGAAAGUGUCGGCGGAUGGGGAUGGACUCGCGGCUUAUCAGCUUGUUGUGGGGGUAGUGGCUUACCAAGGCUUUGACGGGUAGCCGGCCUGGGAGGGUGACCGGCAACAUUGUGCCUGGGAUACGGCCCAGACUCCUACGGGAGGCAAGAGUGGGGAAUGUUGCACAAUGGGCGGACGCCUGAUGCAGCAACGCCGCGUGCGGGAGGACGGCCUUCGGGUUGUAAACCGAUUUCGCCUGUGACGAGGCGUGAGUGACGGUAAUAGGUAAAGAAGCACCGGCUAACUACGU